rnacentral:tRNA from 1 species
CAAAUUAAAGCUUUUAAGAAGCGUUUUAUUUACAUUAAAGAGAUUAUUUUUGCAGAUAUAGUUUGA